rnacentral:rRNA from 1 species
CCCCUAGAUGUUCUGGGCCGCACGCGCGCUACACUGAACAGUUCAACAAGUCUUAACCUUGGCCGAUAGGUCUGGGUAAUCUUUGAACGCUGUUCGUGAUUGGGAUAGACCUUUGCAAUUAUGGGUCUUCAACGAGGAAUUCCUAGUAAACGCAAGUCAUCAGCUUGCAUUGAUUACGUCCCUGCCCUUUGUACACACCGCCCGUCGCACCUACCGAUUGAAUGGUCCGGUGAAAUCUCGGGACGGCGGCUUGGUCGCUUGCGUCCGACUGCUGAAACUUGAUUAAACCAUAUCAUUUAGAGAAAGGUGAANUCGUANCA